rnacentral:lncRNA from 1 species
CGAGUCUUAAUGAUAUUGAUAUGAUUGUAUGCAUGUGAUUAAGUAUGGUAACGCCUCGUAUUCCAUCCCGGCGUAGGACUCGAGUAUGGGGUGUUACACCCCCACACUUAACGUUUUGCUUGUCCUCAUGCAAACCAAGUCUAGACACAUAACAUACAAAAAAAAAGAUGUCUGUUGGAUUUUAUUACCACUAAGAACAUGAUUGUAAAAAAUUAAAGGUAUAAUAAUUCUUAUCGCACAUGUAACUUAA